rnacentral:rRNA from 1 species
UACGGAGGAUGCAAGCGUUAUCCGGAAUGAUUGGGCGUAAAGCGUCCGCAGGUGGCUAUGUAAGUCUGCUGUUAAAGAGUCUGGCUCAACCAGAUAAAGGCAGUGGAAACUACAUGGCUAGAGUGCGUUCGGGGCAGAGGGAAUUCCUGGUGUAGCGGUGAAAUGCGUAGAGAUCAGGAAGAACACCGGUGGCGAAGGCGGCCAGCUGGGCCGUCCCUGACGCUGAGGCGCGAAGGCGUGGGGAGCGAACGGG